rnacentral:rRNA from 1 species
AGUCACUGACAUUAGAUACCCGGGUAGUCCAGGGUGUAAACGCUGCAGACUUGGUGUUGGAAGCCCUUUGGGGGCAUUCAGUGCCGGAGAGAAGUUGUUAAGUCUGCUACUUGGGGAGUACGUCCGCAAGGAUGAAACUUAAAGGAAUUGGCGGGGGAGCACCGCAACGGGAGGAGCGUGCGGUUUAAUUUGGAUUCAACACCGUAAAACUACACCAGGGAAGACUGUUACAUGAAGGCCGAGAUGAAGACUCUGCUAGAUUUUUCAG